AUGCAAGUCGAGCGGACCUCUUCGGAGGUCAGCGGCGGACGGGUGAGUAACACGUGGGCAACCUGCCUGUAAGACUGGGAUAACUCCGGGAAACCGGAGCUAAUACCGGAUAGUAUCUUGAACCGCAUGGUUCAAGUUGGAAAGACGGUUUCGGCUGUCACUUACAGAUGGGCCCGCGGCGCAUUAGCUAGUUGGUGAGGUAAUGGCUCACCAAGGCAACGAUGCGUAGCCGACCUGAGAGGGUGAUCGGCCACACUGGGACUGAGACACGGCCCAGACUCCUACGGGAGGCAGCAGUAGGGAAUCUUCCGCAAUGGACGAAAGUCUGACGGAGCAACGCCGCGUGAGUGAUGAAGGUUUUCGGAUCGUAAAACUCUGUUGUUAGGGAAGAACAAGUGCGAGAGUAACUGCUCGCACCUUGACGGUACCUAACCAGAAAGCCACGGCUAACUACGUGCCAGCAGCCGCGGUAAUACGUAGGUGGCAAGCGUUGUCCGGAAUUAUUGGGCGUAAAGCGCGCGCAGGCGGUUUCUUAAGUCUGAUGUGAAAGCCCCCGGCUCAACCGGGGAGGGUCAUUGGAAACUGGGAAACUUGAGUGCAGAAGAGGAGAGUGGAAUUCCACGUGUAGCGGUGAAAUGCGUAGAGAUGUGGAGGAACACCAGUGGCGAAGGCGACUCUCUGGUCUGUAACUGACGCUGAGGCGCGAAAGCGUGGGGAGCGAACAGGAUUAGAUACCCUGGUAGUCCACGCCGUAAACGAUGAGUGCUAAGUGUUAGAGGGUUUCCGCCCUUUAGUGCUGCAGCUAACGCAUUAAGCACUCCGCCUGGGGAGUACGGUCGCAAGACUGAAACUCAAAGGAAUUGACGGGGGCCCGCACAAGCGGUGGAGCAUGUGGUUUAAUUCGAAGCAACGCGAAGAACCUUACCAGGUCUUGACAUCCUUUGCCACUUCUAGAGAUAGAAGGUUCCCCUUCGGGGGACAAAGUGACAGGUGGUGCAUGGUUGUCGUCAGCUCGUGUCGUGAGAUGUUGGGUUAAGUCCCGCAACGAGCGCAACCCUUGAUCUUAGUUGCCAGCAUUCAGUUGGGCACUCUAAGGUGACUGCCGGUGACAAACCGGAGGAAGGUGGGGAUGACGUCAAUCAUCAUGCCCCUUAUGACCUGGGCU
rnacentral:rRNA from 1 species